rnacentral:rRNA from 1 species
AACGUAGGUGGCAAGCGUUGUCCGGAAUUACUGGGUGUAAAGGGAGCGCAGGUGGGCUGACAAGUCAAAUGUGAAAUACAGGAGCUCAACUCCUGAACUGCGUUUGAUACUGUUGGUCUUGAGUGGAGUAGAGGAAAGCGGAAUUCCCGGUGUAGCGGUGGAAUGCGUAGAUAUCGGGAGGAACACCAGUGGCGAAGGCGGCUUUCUGGGCUCUAACUGACACUGAGGCUCGAAAGCGUGGGUAG